GAGGAGCGAGAGGGCGGCGAACUAAUGAACAAAAUCAAAAGAAGAGACAUUUUAUGAUUGGAUUUCCAUGAUCAAAGCGGCCCGCCGCUAAUCGCGCGCCGUGAUUGGUAGACACUUUAUAAACAAGCCGCAGCUCGACCCUUGAAAGAAAAUCAUUUGUUAUAUUAUUGUGUAUUUCCGUUAUCACGCCACAUUAUUGUCAGCACCUUUAAAAGUACUGUCAUCGUUCGCAAAAGAGACCGCCUUUAUUUAAAUAAGAAAGGCUUCUGCAAUACACUUGUGAAGGGGGCAAACAGGCCAUUGUCCGAGUAACAAGCUAUAAACAAUUAGAGUCUUGUGCACGAGGUAUACUGUGGCUUUUCGCGAUAAAGAUGCUUGAGGUGUUAACCUUUCAUCGUGCCGCGCGUUUCACUCAAUUGUUUACACGGCGAGAAAAAUUCAUGUCAGUUUUACGACAGCAUAGGGCUUGAUCCUGGCACUUUCCGGCUAUUAUUUUUACAGCAACGCCAGAAUAUAAACAUUUUGUUGAUGCGAGCUUAAAUUCGCUUUUAAUGUCAGUUUUAUGGGGGCAGAAUGUUCUAACAAGCGUGCGCGCUUACUAAUUAGAAACCCGCCCUCCGAGACCGCCUUAAGGUCCACCUUAGGUUUACGCGGAGCUGUGGUUGUGCCAAUCAACUCAGGUCAGCGUUUUCGCUUUCUGGCACUGUAAGCAACACGGUCUCGGCGAUAUUCUGACUGAGAACUAAAAUUGCACUCAGAUAUCUGUGCGAUCGAGAUGACAGACUGACAUCGACUGUUUAUAGGUAAUUAUUGAUGGUCCUCGCUUGUCGAGACAGCGGCAUCCUUUGAGUUGGUGGAUCAAUUUCGACCAAUUUCCUCGGCUAACAAUUAACAAGUUAUUCUCACUCUAACCGUGAUUGAAGGGUGUCAGCGAUUUUUCAUCAGCCUCAGAUUUCCUUCACGUCUGAAGACACGAAAGCUCUAAAACGAGAGCAAAAACAAAAUCCCGGAACAUUUCUGUAAACCACCGCAAACGCACAACCAAUUUUUAGCGCCAAUCGACUUAAAACACUUUAACUUCAGGGCUUAAGAAUCGCUGAUCUGCACCGAUAAGAAACAGUGGGCCAAUAUACUUCUCAGAUACUCUUACAACGAUUACAUGUCUCUGACUGACUCUUGGGAAACACUCGGGCGCAGAAAGAACAAUAGCUUGCUAUCCAUUAAAGACUCCUGAACGAGGGCGAAAACACGAAGGAAGGGUUGUUUCUGCUACUGCUCGCCGGCUAUCCUUCGACUUCACUGUGUUGGCUUUUCCGAAAUCAUGUUGUUGAGUCUUAAAUAAAGUGAGUUGAAUCGUA